rnacentral:lncRNA from 1 species
GGACAGCUCAGUUAAAGUGAACAAGCAUAAAUUUGUGGCAGACUCAAUCAGUGCAGCUUUCUCUAGCAGCACUCUUCUGCCUAGCUAGGAAAUAUUUAGAAGUUCAAGGUCCAUGGGAAAUUUUAGGCAAUAAGUGAAGGCACUGCUGAGUCGGCUGACCAUGAAAGCAAGCUAGACGGAAGAAAUAAAGUUGGAAGUUAACAGACAAGAAGAAAAAGAGCAGAGUCAGGGUUGUGAUGAGAAGAAAGACCAGGAUUAGUAUGAGAAAGAAAUUUAGGAUGGCUGACAUUAAAGCGAUGGUGGAAGAGGCAAGAUACUCAAAAUUGGAGAUUCAUAGAUGAUGAGAUCCAAGGAUGGAGAGGAGUUGGGGAUCAUUGGUGUCAAGGAGAGCCAUCACAGAACACUGUUUGACUUCUCCCAGCCUUUUGAAAUCUCACUGUCUACAAGGAGUCUUACAAUACAAGGUAAGAAACCUCUAUACUACAGUCUCAAGAAUAUGCAAGUAUUUUUCCAGGCUUCUGGCUGUCUUAAAUCACACUUUCUAGAGAAUUGCCCCUUUCCAGUAUCUCUCCUUAGACCAAAAGUUAAC